rfam:Mus musculus chromosome 17, GRC primary reference assembly.
GGGAGAUGGCUCAGCAGUUAAGAGCACUGGCUGCUUUUCCAGAGGGUCUGGGUUUGAUUCCCAGCACCCA